UCCUGUAGUUCGACUCUAUAGUUUUGAUCAAUACUCCUUUUGGGUUACAGCAAAUAAAUCUAAUCAUAAAAGCGUCCAAUUGAGAGAAGUGAAAAAGAGCCUCAAGUGCCACAAUGAAGCUCUAAAUAAAUCCAUUCAAGAAAGCAUCCAACUGAGAGAAGGGAAAAAGAGCCUAAGUACCAAAAUGGUUUUAAUAACAUGGAUUUAAGAAUCCUAAGUGAUUCAUUUAAAACUCCUCUUAGAAUUAAUUAGGAUUAUUAUUUGUGUUAUUUGAUUUAAGACUUUUAAAAGCCAAGGUUGUA